AUGGACCGAUCGGGGGGGGGCACAGCCCCCCCCCAGGCCUCCCCCCCUCCCCAAGCACAUCCUCCCCUCAACGUGACCCCUCGCCCCCCCCCCCCCAGGACACAGAGCUGGCACCCCGGUUGGAUGCUGUGGAGGGGGGGGCCGGACAGAAAUGCCCCCCCUCCAAAUGUGAGCCAUACUGGGGAGCAAAGAGGGGGUACGCUGGAAGCCCCCCCCCCCCCCAUCCCCAGCUCUUCCUCUUGGGACUCACCUGGAGCACCGGCCAGGGGGGGCCACUUGCCUUUGGGCCCCCCCCCCACGGACUCAACCCUGGCCCCGCAGCGAGGUUCGCCCCUCCGAUUCGGUGCCCAGGACACCACGGACCUUCACCGUGGGGGGGGACCACAAGUCCCCCCCCAUCGCGCCCCCCCCCCCCCCCCCCAGUGCCACCACAGCCGGGCAGGAGGGAACCCCUCAGCCUUUGCCAAGCCCUGCAGCGGGCAUGGGGGGGGACGGGCAGCAGCCCCCACCACAGCCCCCCAGGGAUGCGGGGACAGGGCUGGGGGGGUGCCCCCAGUGCCCCCCCCCCCAGCACCUGCCACUACCCUCCCCGAGCCCAGGGCUUUCGCCUUCCCUGGGCAAAGGGGGGGACACACACGGGGGUCCCCCUCCAGGGUGGGGGCGAUGUUCUCACCCGCCCCCCCCAACUGUAAAUAUCCCCCCCCCCCAAUAAAUCACAGUAUUUCUCUGGGGCUGGGACACCCCCCACCACUGGCCAACCCCAGCUGGGUUGGGGGGUCCCAGCCCCUCGGCCCAGGGGGAACCCCUUUAUUUUUUGUUUCUGUUUUGCCCCCCCCCCUCCCGAAGUACCGAGUCUCCGACAGUAACUGGAUGUGGGGGCAACUGGGAGCCAGAGCUGGUUAUACUGGGAGGGGGAGGAGGGGGGCACGCAAGGGGGGGGGGGAUGGGGAGGGGGGGGUCCGACUGGAUUGGAGCCACUUUGGGGGGGGGGGGGAGUAUUUAAGGGGGGGACGGGGAGCAAGAGCCCCGGGGGGGUGCUGGGGUUAUUUAAUCUCACACGUAUACCUGUGGGUGUAUAUACUAUAUAUAUAUGUACGUAUGUAUGUACUGGUCCUCGUUUUGUAA
rnacentral:lncRNA from 1 species